rnacentral:tmRNA from 1 species
CCCCUUCCCUUACGGUUACAAAAACACUAUAUCCCUCCUGCCGGCUUUCGGGCCGGCUAUGGCGAUAAAUGGGCGAUGGAAUAAACCUAUUGGACCCGGGGGCGGUACCCGGCGCCUCCACCAAAAACAGGCGGAUUUCUUUCGUGGAAACGGCCUGCUUUUGAUGGGGGCGAAACAGGAUCGACAAGGGUGUAAAGAUCGACUUUUCGCUCGGCAUGAUACCGCCGUUAUCGGGUCACAAGUGUAGUUGCAAACGACAACAACGCUAAGGAAUACGCUCUCGCUGCCUAAUGGCGGUGCGGGAAUUCCGCUCUAAGUCCUUACGGCUAGCCCCGUAAGGCGGGGUUCGAAGGCACCUGGCAACAGAAGCCUUCACC